rnacentral:rRNA from 1 species
GGGGAAUUUUACGCAAUGGGGGAAACCCUGACGUAACGACACCGCGUGAGCGAAGAAGCCUUUUGGGGUGUAAAGCUCUGUCAGCUGGAACGAACACAAUGACGGUACCAGCAGAGGAAGCAUCGGCUAACUACGUGCCAGCAGCCGCGGUAAGACGUAGGAUGCAAGCGUUGUCCGGAUUCAUUGGGCGUAAAGAGUUCGUAGGUGGUCUGUUAAGUUUGGUGUUAAAGAGCGGGGCCCAACCCCGAUAGUGCACUGAAUACUGGCAGACUUGAGUGCGGUAGAGGUAAGUGGAAUUCCAAGUGUAGCGGUGAAAUGCAUAGAUAUUUGGAAGAACACCGGUGGCGUAAGCGACUUACUGGGCCGUAACUGACACUGAGGAACGAAAGCCAGGGUAGCGAAUG